rnacentral:rRNA from 1 species
UACGAAGGGGGCUAGCGUUGCUCGGAAUUACUGGGCGUAAAGCGCACGUAGGCGGAUUGUUAAGUCAGGGGUGAAAUCCUGGAGCUCAACUCCAGAACUGCCUUUGAUACUGAAGAUCUUGAGUUCGGGAGAGGUGGAGUGGAACUGCGAGUGUAGAGGUGAAAUUCGGUAAGAUAUUCGCAAGAACACCAGUGGCGAAGGCGG